AAAAGAUCUAGUAAAAAUAGAUAUGUACUAAAAUGUAAAAUAUCAGAGCUUAAAUAAAUUCAUAUUGUAGAAAUUUCUCCUAAUGGCGGUUGAAAGAGAAAAAUUAGCAAAAAUAUUAAAAUAUUUGAAUCAUAACAUCAUUCGUGGCUGAAAUGCUGAUAUUCUAGGAACAUUUAAAUAUUAUAUACAGUGUAACUAAUUUAGUAUGUAUGGCAUAAACUAAUAUUCUAUUAUGCUCUAACACAAAUGAAUACGCGGUGUGUUCAAAAAAUAACGGAAAAGGCACAUGAAACCAUUUCUGGCGAAUAUAGAUGCUGGGGCAUCGUUACAGUAUUCUUUUUGGUCAAGAAUUCCGGAACAAGCAACGAUUGACAAAGUAUGCAAUGAAUACAUCUGAAAAUUACUUGUAUAACGUACUUCAGGGGCAUGCAUGUUAACAUAAUAUAAAAAAAUUCAAAAUUGGACUCUCCAAACCCGUGAAAAUUUGAAUUUUAAAAGUCCCGUUGUUUUCUGAACUACUUAGCGUAUAUGAAGAAAAACUAAUUUUAAAAUAAAAAGAAAAAACAUUUCACUUACCGGAAA